rnacentral:misc_RNA from 1 species
GAUGAAGAACGCAGCGAAAUGCGAUACGUAAUGUGAAUUGCAGAAUUCAGUGAAUCAUCGAAUCUUUGAACGCAUAUUGCGCUCUCUGGUAUUCCGGAGAGCAUGCUUGUUUGAGUAUCAGUAAACACCUCAACUCCCUUUUCUUUUUUGAAAUUGGAGCUGGACUUGAGUGAUCCCAACGCUUUCUUCCAAGAAAGUGGCGGGUUGCUUGAAAUGCAGGUGCAGCUGAACUUUUCUCUGAGCUAUAAGCAUAUCUAUUUAGUCUGCCUAAAAAACAGAUUAUUACCUUUGCUGCAGCUAACAUAAAGGAGACUAGUUCUUGUGCUGACUGAUGCAGGGUUCACAGAGACAGCUUCGGCCGACUUUGUAAACUCGAUCUCAAAUCAAGUAAGACUACCCGCUGAACUUAAGCAUAUCAAUAAGCGGAGGA